UUCCCGGGUCUUGUACACACCGCCCGUCACACCACGAGAGUUUGUAACACCCGAAGCCGGUGGAGUAACCUUUUAGGAGCUAGCCGUCGAAGGUGGGACAAAUGAUUGGGGUGAAGUCGUAACAAGGUAGCCGUAUCGGAAGGUGCGGCUGGAUCACCUCCUUU
rnacentral:rRNA from 1 species